rnacentral:rRNA from 1 species
AUCCGUAGGGGGCGAGCGUUGUCCGGAAUGAUUGGGCGUAAAGGGCGCGUAGGCGGCCCGGUAAGUCUGGAGUGAAAGUCCUGUUUUUAAGAUGGGAAUUGCUUUGGAUACUGUCGGGCUUGAGUGCAGGAGAGGUACGUGGAAUUCCCAGUGUAGCGGUGAACUGCGUAGAGAUUGGGAGGAACACCAGUGGCGAAGGCGACUUACUGGACUGUAACUGACGCUGAGGCGCGAAAGUGUGGGGAGCAAACAGGAUUAGAUACCCUGGUAGUCCACACUGUAAGCGAUGAAUGCUAGGUGUAGGGGGUAUCGACCCCCUCUGUGCCGCAGUCAACACAAUAAGCAUUCCGCCUGGGGAGUACGGCCGCAAGGUUGAAACUCAAAUGAAUUGGCGGGG